rnacentral:rRNA from 1 species
AGUGAACGCUGGCGGUAGGCCUAACACAUGCAAGUCGAACGGCAGCACAGUAAGAGCUUGCUCUUACGGGUGGCGAGUGGCGGACGGGUGAGGAAUACAUCGGAAUCUACUUUUUCGUGGGGGAUAACGUAGGGAAACUUACGCUAAUACCGCAUACGACCUACGGGUGAAAGCAGGGGAUCUCGGACCUUGCGCGAUUGAAUGAGCCGAUGUCGGAUUAGCUAGUUGGCGGGGUAAAGGCCCACCAAGGCGACGAUCCGUAGCUGGUCUGAGAGGAUGAUCAGCCACACUGGAACUGAGACACGGUCCAGACUCCUACGGGAGGCAGCAGUGGGGAAUAUUGGACAAUGGGCGCAAGCCUGAUCCAGCCAUACCGCGUGGGUGAAGAAGGCCUUCGGGUUGUAAAGCCCUUUUGUUGGGAAAGAAAAGCAGCAGGUUAAUACCCCGCUGUUCUGACGGUACCCAAAGAAUAAGCGCCGGCUAACUUCGUG